AAGUCGUAACAAGGUAACCGUAGGUGAACCUGCGGUUGGAUCAUUAAUAAAUCUAGAAGGUCUUAAAGACCUUUCUAACAUCUUGUGAAACGUUUCAUGUCUCUGGCAGGCUCUGUCUGCCGCAUAUACUUUGUAUUACCAUUCGUCUAAAAAAAUUAUAAAAGUAAUUAAAACAACUUUUGACAACGGAUCUCUAGGCUCUCGCAACGAUGAAGAACGCAGCGAAAUGCGAUAAGUAAUGUGAAUUGCAGAAUUCCGUGAAUCAUUAAAUCUUUGAACGCACAUUGCGCCUUUUGGAAUUCCUCAAGGCAUGCCUGUUCGAGAAUCAGUUUAACCAUCAAAUCUAUAGUGGAAACAUUGUAUGUUUGGACUUGGGACUUCUCGAUAGAGAGACCCUAAUUGCAUUUGUUGCACAUCUUCAUCUUGGAUAUAUGAAUGGCAUGACCAUUGAACGCAAGUUCUCACAUGAUUGCAACUAAGUAUAUUUAAGCUUUUGAUGUCGUACAGAAACUUUACGAAGGAUAACUCCUUUAAGACUUGAUCUCGAAUCAGACAAGACUACCCGCUGAACUUAAGCAUAUCAAUAAGCGGAGGAAAAGAAACUAACAAGGAUUCCCCUAGUAACGGCGAGUGAAGCGGGAAGAGCUCAAAUUUGAAAUCUCACAGGUUCCCUGUGCGAAUUGUAGUUUAAAGAAGUAUUUACGGAGACAACCCAGGCAUAAGUCCUUUGGAACAGGGCAUCAUAGAAGGUGAGAAUCCUGUAUAUGGUCUGGUGUUGUUUCUAUGUGUUAUACUUUCAAAGAGUCGGGCUGUUUGGGAAUGCAGCCCAAAAUGGGUGGUAAAUACCAUCUAAAGCUAAAUAUUGGCGAGAGACCGAUAGCGAACAAGUACCGUGAGGGAAAGAUGAAAAGAACUUUGAAAAGAGAGUUAAAUAGUACGUGAAAUUGUCAAAAGGGAAACACUUGAAACCAGUCUUGUCUGUAGAAUCCCAACUAGUUUAACGACUAGCAUAUGUUUCUACCGGCAGGUCAACAUCGGUUUCGACUGUAGUACAAAGCUUGUGGAAGGAGGCCUUCGGGUGUUAUAGCCUCAAGUAAUGCUAUGGUUGAGACCGAGGAUUGCAGUUCAGUCUUGGGGACCCGUUCGCCAGUUGAAUACCUUCUUGGACUGCUUGCAGAUCAAGAAGGGGCUAAGACUGCUCGGGCGGUACACCACACCUGUGCUUAGGAUGUUGACAUAAUGGUUUUAAAUGAC
rnacentral:rRNA from 1 species